rnacentral:lncRNA from 1 species
UAUUUCUCUUAGUUUAUUCAUUUAACAAAAUGCUCCUUUCUGUGCCACAGAAGAGAGUGCCUAUAAGGCCUACACAGGUUCUUCAGUCUGCAAACCUCCCUUUGAGAACAUUUCUUUCAACUCACAUUGCUGGAGCUCCUAAAUAUCUUUCAAGAUUCAUAGUGGUGUCACUCAAGUUUCAAAAUCCAGCAUUACCAAUUGCCAUCAUUACAUACAGCCCCACAUGCCCAGAGCAAGACACUAAGGCUCAUAGCUGCAGCUUUGAGGAUGAAGAGCUUUUGUGUCAGUCUACACUAGAUAAUUGGACCCCUGUACAACUCAGAUCAAACCCUGACUUUUGGAAACUAAUACUGUUUUAACCAGGAGUCUUGGGGUUGAGGAGGCAUACAGGUAGGUGAUUACUAAGCACCAAAUCCGAAUAUGGUUUUAUUAUCCUAAUGAGACAAAGUAAUAAAGAAGAACAGAUGUCAGAUGUUGUCA